rnacentral:rRNA from 1 species
GACAGAGGUGCCGAGCGUUAGGCGGAAUCACCGGGCUUAAAGCGUGUGUAGGCGGGUCGUUAAGUGUCUUGUGAAAUCCCCCGGCUCAACCGGGGAAUGGCUGGGCAUACUGGCGAUCUUGAGCAGUCUAGGGGCAGAUGGAACAAGUGGUGGAGCGGUGAAAUGCGUAGAUAUCACUUGGAACGCCAAAGGUGAAAACAGUCUGCUGGGGACUUGCUGACGCUGAGACACGAAAGCCAGGGGAGCGAACGGG